AUACUUACCUGGAUGGGGUCAAUGGGUGAUCAAGAAGGCCCAUGGCCUAGAAAGGUGACUUCCAUUGCACUUAGGAGGGGUGCCUUUCUAAGGUCUACCCAAGUGGUGGAGCCUACAUCAUAAUUUGUUGCUGUGGGGGCCUGCGUUCGCGCGGCCCCCUUCAAUCUUAGUUUAAAUAUUUUGAAGUUGGAAUUUUGGUGCCUUUUUGGGCUACGCUUAGGAGGGGUGCAACCCUCAGCCUACUACGUUGUUAUCUAAUUGUAAAUUGAUUAUAAUUUGCCUUUGAUUUGAUAUUUCUAUAGUCAAUUUUCUCAACUGCACAACAGUUCGCAAUUUCAGUUCAAAACUGAACUAUUCAUUUGUUUCUUUUUUAAUGUAGCAAUUUCAUUUCUAGUUUCGAUUAG
rnacentral:lncRNA from 1 species